rnacentral:rRNA from 1 species
CCUACGGGAGGCAGCAGUGGGGAAUAUUGGACAAUGGGCGAAAGCCUGAUCCAGCGACGCCGCGUGGGUGAAGAAGGCCUUCGGGUUGUAAAGCCCUUUAAGCCGGGACGAAAAAGCUAGACCUAAUACGUCUGGCCUUGACGGUACCGGAAGAAUAAGCACCGGCUAACUCUGUGCCAGCAGCCGCGGUAAUACAGAGGGUGCAAGCGUUAAUCGGAUUUACUGGGCGUAAAGCGUGUGUAGGUGGCUACCUAAGUCGAUUGUGAAAUCCCUGGGCUCAACCUGGGAAUUGCAGUCGAUACUGGGCAGCUCGAGUUCGGUAGAGGGUGACGGAAUUCCCGGUGUAGCGGUGAAAUGCGUAGAUAUCGGGAGGAACAUCGAUGGCGAAGGCAAUCACCUGGGCCUGAACUGACACUGUGACACGAAAGCGUGGGUAGCAAACAGGAUUAGAUACCCUGGUAGUCCACGCCGUAAACGAUGGGAACCUGACGUCGGUCUGCUCUGGCGNGUCGUGUCGUAGCUACGCGCUACGUCCCGUCCGUCGGGAGGUACGGCCGCGAGGUUAGGUAAACGUUAAAGGUAAAGUUAGUUACGGUCGUUGAGACGUUGCCGACGGCGACGACGAGGGAGGAGG